GACGAACGCUGGCGGCGUGCUUAACACAUGCAAGUCGAACGGAAAGGCCCUGCUUUUGUGGGGUGCUCGAGUGGCGAACGGGUGAGUAACACGUGAGUAACCUGCCCUUGACUUUGGGAUAACUUCAGGAAACUGGGGCUAAUACCGGAUAGGAGCUCCUGCUGCAUGGUGGGGGUUGGAAAGUUUCGGCGGUUGGGGAUGGACUCGCGGCUUAUCAGCUUGUUGGUGGGGUAGUGGCUUACCAAGGCUUUGACGGGUAGCCGGCCUGAGAGGGUGACCGGCCACAUUGGGACUGAGAUACGGCCCAGACUCCUACGGGAGGCAGCAGUGGGGAAUAUUGCACAAUGGGCGGAAGCCUGAUGCAGCAACGCCGCGUGCGGGAUGACGGCCUUCGGGUUGUAAACCGCUUGCGCAUGUGACGAAGCGUGAGUGACGGUAAUGGGUAAAGAAGCACCGGCUAACUACGUG
rnacentral:rRNA from 1 species